rnacentral:rRNA from 1 species
UACGGAGGAUGCAAGCGUUAUCCGGAAUGAUUGGGCGUAAAGCGUCCGCAGGUGGCAAUGUAAGUCUGCUGUCAAAGCGUCUGGCUCAACCAGAUAAAGGCAGUGGAAACUACAUAGCUAGAGUAAGGUAGGGGUAGAGGGAAUUCCCGGUGUAGCGGUGAAAUGCGUAGAGAUCAGGAAGAACACCGGUGGCGAAAGCGCUCUGCUGGACCUUAACUGACACUGAGGGACGAAAGCUAGGGGAGCGAAUGGG